GGGGCAUAUGAUGAGAAUCUGUUUGCAAACUCAUGACGGUCGUCUGAGACACUUUGUGUGUCAUGUUGCAAUCAUAUUUUAUCUGAUGUCC